AUUGAACGCUGGCGGCAGGCCUAACACAUGCAAGUCGAGCGAGCGGCGGACGGGUGAGUAAUGUCUGGGAAACUGCCUGAUGGAGGGGGAUAACCACUGGAAACGGUAGCUAAUACCGCAUACCAUCUGACGUGCUCAGAUGGGAUUAGCGAGUAGGUGGGGUAACGGCUCACCUAGGCUACGAUCCCUAGCUGGUCUGGGAGGUUGACCAGGCACACUGGAACGUAUACACGGUCCAGACUCCUACGGUAGGCAGCAGUUGGGAAUAUUGCACAAUGGGCGCAAGCCUGAUUCGGCCAUGCCGCGUGUGUGAAGAAGGCCUUCGGGUUGUAAAGCACGUUCAGCGGGGAGGCGUUACCCGCAGAGGAAGCACCGGCUAACUCCGUGCCAGCAGCCGCGGUAAUUC
rnacentral:rRNA from 1 species